rnacentral:rRNA from 1 species
UACGGGGGGAGCAAGCGUUGUUCGGAUUUACUGGGCGUAAAGGGCGCGUAGGCGGCGUGACAAGUCACUUGUGAAAUCUCCGGGCUUAACCCGGAACGGUCAAGUGAUACUGUCGUGCUAGAGUACAGAAGGGGCAACUGGAAUUCUCGGUGUAGCGGUGAAAUGCGUAGAUAUCGAGAGGAACACCUGCGGCGAAGGCGGGUUGUUGGGCUGAUACUGACGCUGAGGCGCGAAAGCCAGGGGAGCGAACGGG